UACAGAGGGGGCAAGCGUUUAUUCGGAAUUAUUGGGCGUAAAGGGCGCGUAGGCGGCCUGGCAAGUGGAAGGUGAAAUCCCUCGGCUUAACCGAGGAACUGCCCUCCAAACUGCUUGGCUUGAGUCCGGGAGAGGUGAGUGGAACUCCCAGUGUAGCGGUGAAAUGCGUAGAUAUUGGGAGGAACACCAGUGGCGAAGGCGGCUCACUGGACCGGAACUGACGCUGAGGCGCGAAAGCGUGGGGAGCAAACGGG
rnacentral:rRNA from 1 species